CAGUAGCCGCGGUAAUACGGAGGAUCCGAGCGUUAUCCGGAAUUAUUGGGUUUAAAGGGUGCGUAGGCGGAUAGAUAAGUCAGUGGUGAAAGACGGUGGCUCAACCAUCGCAGUGCCGUUGAUACUGUUUAUCUUGAAUAUGGAUGAGGUAGGCGGAAUGUGGCAAGUAGCGGUGAAAUGCAUAGAUAUGCCACAGAACACCGAUUGCGAAGGCAGCUUACCAAGGCAAAAUUGACGCUGAGGCACGAAAGCGUGGGGAUCGAACAGGAUUAGAUACCCCGGUAGUCCCUGUCUCUUAUAC
rnacentral:rRNA from 1 species